rnacentral:rRNA from 1 species
AAGGUGACUGCCGGCUAAAAGUCGGAGGAAGGUGGGGAUGACGUCAAAUCAUCAUGCCCCUUAUGACCUGGGCUACACACGUGCUACAAUGGUUGGUACAACGAGUUGCGAGUCGGUGACGGCGAGCUAAUCUCUUAAAGCCAAUCUCAAUUCGGAUUGUAGGCUGCAACUCGCCUACAUGAAGUCGGAAUCGCUAGUAAUCGCGGAUCAGCACGCCGCGGUGAAUACGUUCCCGGGCCUU